rnacentral:rRNA from 1 species
UUCGCAAUGCCCGAAAGGGUGACGAAGCGACGCCGCGUGGGUGAAGAAGGCCUUCGGGUUGUAAAACCCUGUCAGGAGUUAUGAAAUGUAAGUGCGCUAAUAUCGUGCUUAUUUGACAAAGGCUCCAAAGGAAGCCACGGCUAACUCUGUGCCAGCAGCCGCGGUAAUACAGAGGUGGCGAGCGUUGUUCGGAAUUAUUGGGCGUAAAGAGCACGUAGGUGGGUUUGCAAGUCAGAUGUGAAAGCCUUCUGUUCAACGGGAGAAUUGCAUCUGAAACUGCUAAUCUUGAGUAUAGGAGGGGAGAAUGGAACUUUUGGUGGAGCGGUGAAAUGCGUAGAUAUCAGAAGGAACGUCGGCGGCGAAAGCGAUUCUCUUGCCUAUUACUGACACUCAGUGUGCGAAAGCUAGGGGAGCAAACGGGAUUAGAUACCCCGGUAGUCCUAGCCGUAAACGAUGGGCACUAAGUAGA